rnacentral:rRNA from 1 species
GAUGAACGCUGGCGGCGUGCUUAACACAUGCAAGUCGAACGGUGAAGGCGGAGCUUGCUCUGCUGGAUCAGUGGCGAACGGGUGAGUAACACGUGAGCAAUCUGCCCCUGACUCUGGGAUAAGCGCUGGAAACGGCGUCUAAUACUGGAUACGAGCUGCGAAGGCAUCUUCAGCAGCUGGAAAGAAUUUCGGUCAGGGAUGAGCUCGCGGCCUAUCAGCUUGUUGGUGAGGUAAUGGCUCACCAAGGCGUCGACGGGUAGCCGGCCUGAGAGGGUGACCGGCCACACUGGGACUGAGACACGGCCCAGACUCCUACGGGAGGCAGCAGUGGGGAAUAUUGCACAAUGGGCGAAAGCCUGAUGCAGCAACGCCGCGUGAGGGACGAAGGCCUUCGGGUUGUAAACCUCUUUUAGCAGGGAAGAAGCGAAAGUGACGGUACCUGCAGAAAAAGCGCCGGCUAACUACGUG